rnacentral:rRNA from 1 species
UACAGAGGGUGCGAGCGUUAAUCGGAAUUACUGGGCGUGAAGCGCACGUAGGUGGCGACGUAAGUCGGGUGUGAAAGCCCCGGGCUCAACCUGGGAAUUGCAUUCGAGACUGAAUAGCUAGGGUACGGUAGAGGGAAGCGGAAUUUCCGGUGUAGCGGUGAAAUGCGUAGAUAUCGGAAGGAACAUCAGUGGCGAAAGCGGCUUCCUGGACCAGUACCGACGUUCAGGCACGAAAGCGUGGGGAGCAAACAGG